CUACGGGGGGCUGCAGUGGGGAAUAUUGCACAAUGGAGGAAACUCUGAUGCAGCAACGCCGCGUGGAGGAUGACACUUUUCGGAGCGUAAACUCCUUUUAUAUAGGAAGAAGAUGACGGUACUAUAUGAAUAAGCGCCGGCUAACUCCGUGACAGCAGCCGCGGUAAUACGGAGGGCGCAAGCGUUACUCGGAAUCACUGGGCGUAAAGAGCGUGUAGGCGGAUUAAAAAGUCAGAAGUGAAAUCCUAUAGCUUAACUAUAGAACUGCUUCUGAAACUCUUAAUCUAGAAUGUGGGAGGGUAGAUGGAAUUUCUGGUGUAGGGGUAAAAUCCGUAGAGAUCAGAAGGAAUACCGAUUGCGAAGGCGAUCUACUAGAACAUUAUUGACGCUGAGACGCGAAAGCGUGGGGAGCAAGCAGGAUUAGAUCCCCGUAGUC
rnacentral:rRNA from 1 species